GCCCCGUUGGCUCAGUGGUAAAGCGUGUCACUAGUACGCGGGCGCGGCGCGGCGCGGCGCGGCGCGGCGCGGCGCGGCAAUGACAAGAUCACUGGUUCGAUUCCAGUACGGGGCA
rnacentral:tRNA from 1 species